UGCAAAGACUCCUGAACCUAGGGAAGAUUCAAGACAGCAAAUGAGUGAACAUACUGGAGACUCAGCUACCACUUUCUCAGGACUCAGGUGAAGGCGUUGAGCAGCCACUACUAUCAGUCUGCUGUGCACCGCAAAGAUUAAGCUUGGACAAGGUCUUCAUUAACCGACUGGCUGUAUUGCUGCGAGUUAAGGGAGGAGGGCUGGAUGCUUCUUUGCUGGAAGACACUGAAUUCAUACUACCAAUUUUCUGCAGAGGAGUCCCAGAGACUUGAGAAUACAAGGAGGAGAAAGCAUUGGCCACAGUAGUAAGCACUUCAAUCUGGCGAAAACGACCUGCACAAGACAAAAUAUAAGAUGGAGUUUAAGAGGAACUUUGGUGUCAUCACAGCUCAAAACUGCUGAUCCAUUUCUACGCAGCUGUUCGAAUUGUUAUUUAGUUAGUCUUCUCCUUGUAUCUGGAGAGAGAGCUUUCAUCAUAACCAGUGCCCGCCCACCUCAUCAAAUCUCCCUCUACUUAUAUCAAGUCAGGAGAUGAACUCUGUCUAGUUCUGUAACCUGAAAGGGAUACCGCAUAGUACAAAGAAAUGGAAAAAAAAAAA